rnacentral:rRNA from 1 species
CUAGCCGUAAACGAUGGACACUAGGUGUUGGAGGAUCGACCCCUUCAGUGCUGUUCUGCUAACGCGUUAAGUGUCCCGCCUGGGGAGUACGGUCGCAAGACUAAAACUCAAAGGAAUUGACGGGGGCCCGCACAAGCGGUGGAGCAUGUUGGUUAAUUGGAUGAUACGCCAAGAACCUUACCAGGGCUUGACAUGUUUUUGACAGCCUAUGAAAGUAGGUUUUCUACUUCGGUAGACAGAAUCACAGGUGG